rnacentral:pre_miRNA from 1 species
AGAGGGAUAGCUGGGUCAAAUGGUGGUUCCAUUCCCAAUUUUUCAAGGAAUCUCCAUACUGCUUUCCAUAUUGGCUGUACCAAUUUGCAGUCCCACUAGCAAU